CUUACACAUGCAAGUCGAACGCGAAAGGGGGCAACCCCGAGUAGAGUGGCGAACGGGUGAGCAAUACAUCGGAACGUGUCCUGUAGCGGGGGACAACCUCGAGAAAUCGAGGCUAAUACCGCAUACGAUCUACGGAUGAAAGUGGGGGACCGCAAGGCCCCACACUAUAGGAGCGGCCGAUGCCGGAUUAGCUAGUUGGUGGGGUAACGGCCUACCAAGGCGACGAUCCGUAGCUGGUUUGAGAGAACGACCAGCCACACUGGGACUGAGACACGGCCCAGACUCCUACGGGAGGCAGCAGUGGGGAAUUUUGGACAAUGGGCGCAAGCCUGAUCCAGCCAUGCCGCGUGAGUGAAGAAGGCCUUCGGGUUGUAAAGCUCUUUCGGCGGGGACGAAAUGGCGCGGGGUAACAUCUCGCGUCGAUGACGGUACCCGAAGAAGAAGGACCGGCUAACUACGUGCCAGCAGCCGCGGUAAUACGUAGGGUCCAAGCGUUAAUCGGAAUUACUGGGCGUAAAGCGUGCGUAGGCGGUUUCGAAAGUCCGAUGUGAAAUCCCCGGGCUUAACCUGGGAACUGCGUUGGAAACUACGAGGCUAGAGUGCGGCAGAGGGGGGUGGAAUUCCAGGUGUAGCAGUGAAAUGCGUAGAGAUCUGGAGGAACACCGAUGGCGAAGGCAGCCCCCUGGGCUAGCACUGACGCUGAUACACGAAAGCGUGGGGAGCAAACAGGAUUAGAUACCCUGGUAGUCCACGCCCUAAACGAUGGCAACUAGUUGUUGGAGGAUGAACUCCUUUAGUAACGCAGCUAACGCGUGAAGUUGCCCGCCUGGGGAGUACGGUC
rnacentral:rRNA from 1 species